rnacentral:rRNA from 1 species
GGGGAAUAUUGGACAAUGGGCGCAAGCCUGAUCCAGCCAUGCCGCGUGAGUGAUGAAGGCCUUAGGGUUGUAAAGCUCUUUUGUCCGGGACGAUAAUGACGGUACCGGAAGAAUAAGCCCCGGCUAACUUCGUGCCAGCAGCCGCGGUAAUACGAAGGGGGCUAGCGUUGCUCGGAAUCACUGGGCGUAAAGGGCGCGUAGGCGGCCAUUCAAGUCGGGGGUGAAAGCCUGUGGCUCAACCACAGAAUUGCCUUCGAUACUGUUUGGCUUGAGUAUGGUAGAGGUUGGUGGAACUGCGAGUGUAGAGGUGAAAUUCGUAGAUAUUCGCAAGAACACCGGUGGCGAAGGCGGCCAACUGGACCAUUACUGACGCUGAGGCGCGAAAGCGUGGGGAGCAAAC